rnacentral:rRNA from 1 species
CCUACGGGUGGCUGCAGUGGGGAAUUUUGGACAAUGGGCGCAAGCCUGAUCCAGCCAUGCCGCGUGCAGGAUGAAGGCCUUCGGGUUGUAAACUGCUUUUGUACGGAACGAAAAGGUGCCUUCUAAUAAAGGGCGCUCAUGACGGUACCGUAAGAAUAAGCACCGGCUAACUACGUGCCAGCAGACGCGGUAAUACGUACGGUGGUAGCGUUAGUCGGAAUUACUGGGCGGGUUUUGUGCGAAAGCGGUGAAAUCCCCGGGCUCAACCUGGGAACUGCCUGUGUGACUGCAAGGCUGGAGUGCGGCAGAGGGGGAUGGAAUUCCGCGUGUAGCAGUGAAAUGCGUAGAUAUGCGGAGGAACACCGAUGGCGAAGGCAAUCCCCUGGGCCUGCACUGACGCUCAUGCACGAAAGCGAGGGGAGCAAACAGGAUUAGAUACCCCAGUAGUC